GAUGAAGAGCGCAGCGAAAUGCGAUACUUGGUGUGAAUUGCAGAAUCCCGUGAACCAUCGAGUCUUUGAACGCAAGUUGCGCCCGAAGCCAUUAGGCCGAGGGCACGCCUGCCUGGGCGUCACACGUCGUUGCCCCCCCAUCUACUCCUUCGGGAUUGCGGGGGGCGGAUGAUGGCCUCCCGUGCGCCUCGUCGCGCGGUUGGCAUAAAUGCCAAGUCCUCGGCGACGCACGCCACGACAAUCGGUGGUUGCGAAACCUCGGUUGCCCGUCGUGUGCGGUCGUCGCGCAUCGAGGGCUCGAAAAAAUUGCCGGGCUCCGGCUCGGCUUUCAACGCGACCCCAGGUCAGGCGGGGUUACCCGCUGAAUUUAAGCAUAUCAAUAAGCGGAGGA
rnacentral:misc_RNA from 1 species